AACCAGACUCCUACGGGAGGCAGCAGUGGGGAAUAUUGCACAAUGGGGGAAACCCUGAUGCAGCAACGCCGCGUGAGUGAAGAAGUAUUUCGGUAUGUAAAGCUCUAUCAGCAGGGAAGAGAAUGACGGUACCUGACUAAGAAGCCCCGGCUAACUACGUGCCAGCAGCCGCGGUAAUACGUAGGGGGCGAGCGUUAUCCGGAUUUACUGGGUGUAAAGGGAGCGUAGACGGUUCUGCAAGUCUGGAGUGAAAGCCCGGGGCCCAACCCCGGGACUGCUCUGGAAACUGCGGCGCUGGAGUACGGGAGGGGCAGGCGGAAUUCCUGGUGUAGCGGUGAAAUGCGUAGAUAUUAGGAGGAACACCAGUGGCGAAGGCGUCUUACUGGACCGAAACUGACGUUGAGGCUCGAAAGCGUGGGGAGCAAACAGGAUUAGAUACCCUUGUA
rnacentral:rRNA from 1 species